rnacentral:lncRNA from 1 species
CCCCACUCCACUCUCUGUGACAGAUUUCACAUGGCCCCAUCUCUCUCUGCCAAGUCAUGACAAUGGACACCACUCCACUCUCCAUAACAAACUCCACGUGGCCCUGAACGGCCCCCUGAUGCCACUACUCUCCAUAACAAACUCUGCAUGGCCCCGAACGGCCCACUACCAGGCAGUUAGAAAUGUCGCUGUCAAUUAGUUACACUCUCUGUCUAUAAAAAGGGACCCCC